CAGUCGCCGCGAUAAUACGAAGGGUGCAAGCGUUAAUCGGAAUUACUGGGCGUAAAGCGUGCGUAGGCGGUGAGUUAAGUCUGCUGUGAAAUCCCCGGGCUCAACCUGGGAAUGGCAGUGGAUACUGGCUCGCUAGAGUGUGUCAGAGGAUGGUGGAAUUCCCGGUGUAGCGGUGAAAUGCGUAGAGAUCGGGAGGAACAUCGGUGGCGAAGGCGGCCAUCUGGGACAACACUGACGCUGAGGCACGAAAGCGUGGGGAGCAAACAGGAUUAGAUACCCCCGUAGUCCCUGUCUCUUAUAA
rnacentral:rRNA from 1 species